rnacentral:rRNA from 1 species
UACGUAGGGUGCGAGCGUUGUCCGGAAUUAUUGGGCGUAAAGAGCUUGUAGGCGGUUUGUCGCGUCUGCUGUGAAAUUUCGGGGCUCAACCCCGAACUUGCAGUGGGUACGGGCAGACUAGAGUGUGGUAGGGGAGACUGGAAUUCCUGGUGUAGCGGUGAAAUGCGCAGAUAUCAGGAAGAACACCCGUGGCUAAGGCGGCUCUCUAGUACGGUACUGACGCUGAGACGCGAAAGCGUGGGGAGCAAACAGG